GACGAACGCUGGCGGCGUGCUUAACACAUGCAAGUCGAACGGAAAGGCCCUGCUUUUGUGGGGUGCUCGAGUGGCGAACGGGUGAGUAACACGUGAGUAACCUGCCCUUGACUUUGGGAUAACUUCAGGAAACUGGGGCUAAUACCGGAUAGGAGCUCCUGCUGCAUGGUGGGGGUUGGAAAGUUUCGGCGGUUGGGGAUGGACUCGCGGCUUAUCAGCUUGUUGGUGGGGUAGUGGCUUACCAAGGCUUUGACGGGUAGCCGGCCUGAGAGGGUGACCGGCCACAUUGGGACUGAGAUACGGCCCAGACUACAACGGGAGGCAGAAGUGGGGAAUAAUGCACAAUGGGCGGAAGCCUGAUGCAGCAACGGCGCGUGCGGGAUGAAGGCCUUCGGGUUGUAACCCGCUUUAGCAUGUGACGAAGCGUGAGUGACGGUAAUGGGUAAAGAAGCACCGGCUAACUACGUG
rnacentral:rRNA from 1 species